rnacentral:rRNA from 1 species
GCGAGUGGCGAACUGGUGAGUAACACGUGGGUAACCUGCCCCGAAGCGGGGGAUAACAUUUGGAAACAAGUGCUAAUACCGCAUAAUUAGUUGGAACCGCAUGGUUCCAACUUGAAAGAUGGCUCUGCUAUCACUUUGGGAUGGACCCGCGCCGUAUUAGUUAGUUGGUGAGAUAAAAGCCCACCAAGACGAUGAUACGUAGCCGACCUGAGAGGGUAAUCGGCCACAUUGGGACUGAGACACGGCCCAGACUCCUACGGGAGGCAGCAGUAGGGAAUCUUCCACAAUGGACGAAAGUCUGAUGGAGCAACGCCGCGUGAGUGAUGAAGGUUUUCGGAUCGUAAAACUCUGUUGUUAAAGAAGAACAAGUGUUAGAGUAACUGUUAACACUUUGACGGUAUUUAACCAGAAAGCCACGGCUAACUACGUGCCAGCAGCCGCGGUAAUACGUAGGUGGCAAGCGUUGUCCGGAUUUAUUGGGCGUAAAGCGAGCGCAGGCGGUUUUGUAAGUCUGCUGUGAAAGCCCUCAGCUCAACUGAGGAAGUGCAGUGGAAACUACAAAACUUGAGUACAGAAGAGGAAAGUGGAACUCCAUGUGUAGCGGUGAAAUGCGUAGAUAUAUGGAAGAACACCAGUGGCGAAGGCGGCUUUCUGGUCUGUUACUGACGCUGAGGCUCGAAAGCAUGGGNUAGCGAACAGGAUUAGAUACCCUGGUAGUCCAUGCCGUAACGAAUGAAUACUAGGUGUUUGGAGGGGUUUCCGCCCCUUCAGUGCCCGCAGCUAACGCAUUAAGUAUUUCCGCCUGGGGGAGUACGA